CAGGGUAAUGUCCCUGAGCCUUGAGGAGAGGCUAUGGUUAACUUUUUUGUUUUGGGGUUCUCCCUGCCCCUUAGAAAAACUAGAUGAACCUCACUGCAAGGACGACAGAGUGGAGGGCAGUCUUCCUGCAGUUGCCUGGUGCAGGUUCCGCAGUGGACAGCGAUGAGAGCCUUUGCGCGUUCCCGUUGCCAAAAUGAGAGAACAAGUACGAACUUGGCCGAUUGCGCUUGAGUUCCCCCCCCACACAAAUGCGAACUGGAUACCAAGCAGGAAACGUUACUGAGGGGCACCAGAGUGUCCCCCUCUCACCUCCAAGCCAUGUCCUUGCCCACCUAUCACAAGACACGGGUCUCUAGUAGCUUCUGAUGUCUCAGUGACCAGGGAAGGUCAAGUUUGCUCAAAGUCCUGGAUUCCUCUGACUUCUCUACACUCAGAACUUACAUUUGGAGAUCACGCCUUCUCUAAGACUCCAAAGAGCCUACACUUUGCUGAAGCAGUCUGCCCAUCACGGCCUGCUAACUGGUCUUCCAUGGAGGCACCAAGGCUGGGCCACCUUGACCUUCAGAGCCAUACCCCACAAGGCUGUCCAGAUGUGUCCUCCACCGUCCUCAUAAAUCUCAGGCCUCCAGUUCUUGGCCCUGAGGCCAUACCCCAUUGCCUUGGUCUCUGUCUCCCUGCUUAGCAACUGGCUCAUCUGCCAUCCACAUCCAGCUUCCAGACACCCUGUUCUUCUGGGCGUGGGGAGGUCCUGCUUGGCUGCUGCUUCUGUGACCCACAACCCAAGACGACGAGGAUCUGACUCGUUCUUUUCUAGACUGCUUUUGCCACAGCUGAAGUGGGAGUCCAGCUGUCAUGGCGCUUCCUCUUUAAUGUGCAUUCCACGUUCCCGGCUGCAGAAACCAGCCACCUGAGAGUCAAAAUCAAUAUGGUCUCUCUUUUUUGCAUGAAGUUUCCACAGGAGAAACCAGGGCCCUUUUUUUUGUAGGUUCACCUCUUCCUUUUCAGACAGGAGAUUUCUAAAGGACACAUACUUCCUUCAGUAAAGCCCUCCAAGGAGCCUGACUUUCCCAUCAAUUGGGAAGUGGCGGGAAUCUUUCCCAUUGGAUCCGUAAAGAGUGGGCAUCAAGGACCUUCUUGCUGUUUGGUAACAGAAAACAGACUACGACCUUGGGGGAAGAAGAGCGGAAUGAAGAAAAGUAGGUGGGGAGAAAGGCUUGGCAAGGCUUUUCCUAAAUGUCCCUCCACGUUGGUCUACUUUCAUACUGUUGCUGUUUUGUUUAGUAAAGAGUCCAUGUGAAUUGGUGAAAAACAGGCAUGAAAGACAAUGUCCACAGAGAGAUAAGCAAGAAAAUGUGUCUAAAAUGGACCUGCGUUCAAUUUCACAGAGAGCCAAGAAAAUAAAGCCUGUCACUCUGAGAAGCCAAUCCCCACCUGUUGCACGGGCAGGAAUCUAAAAGGCUGGUCAUCCCAGCGAUGGAAGACUGUUUUGUGGAGAAAUUGAAGGAUUUGGGAACUGUCCCUCUCCUUGCCCAACCUGACACAUUUUAUAUGCAUGAAUGAAUGUUGCAAGAAUACAAGGUGCUGGAGUCACGAAUGGGGGUUUCUCUGAGCUACAAACAGGAACACAGCUUGUAUGGCUUCCACCCAUCGAGUCCCACAGGCCACAAACAGCGGGUCACUGUACAGCCAUGACAAAGAAAACAUAGCUCUUUGUACCCACAUGAGAAGCAGCCUGCCCCCUACCUGACUUCCAACAGCGAGACAUAAGCCUUUGUUCCUUGGGGGAAAGAUCCAGGAUUCUCACCCCAGUCUUUUGGAAUAUAAGAAGUCUCUCUCCAAAAACCUUAAUUUGUCUAGGGCUUUUAGAAUCAGAGAGGUCUCCAAGGUGUGGAAUGUAAACACUUGGAGGCAGUGAGGGAAGUAACAAUCCCUUUGUCCUGUGGUGUUUUAAGGAUUUCCUGCGGUGGUAUUUUGAACCUUAACUAUUGAGGAUGUUAACUGAGAAGUUUUAUUAUCCUUACAAAUCAGAGAAAUUAAAAAAAAAUGAAUAGGUUGAAAAAACCAAUCUGAGCUCUAAGGAAAGUCAAGGCAAACUGCCACCUGUGGCCACAUAGUGUCCAUGUCCGGAGAGUAUUGAGACAACUCCGAAAGGCUUUGUUUGAUUUUCCUUUAACAAAAUACGAAACAAAAACCAACAAAUUAAAGUUGGGCAGAGCAGAUGAAAAAGAGCUCAGGAGAAGGCACCAGAGUCAGAGAGCCACCCGUUCCCACACUCGGGAGUCUCAUAAAAAUGCUACACCGAAAGCUGAAAUGUAUAGGCAAAGGUGUGGGCUUAGUCCCAGGGCUUUCACUAAAGUGCAGAAGCUGUGUCUUGUUUCUGCGGAUGGCAAUGCACAUCCUUCACGUUCUUCACGGGGAGGAAGAAAUCCAGGACAGUCAGCUCUGUCCACACGACUCUGGAUUCUACUCCAGGAAUUCCACUUUGUGGUUUCGUGACAAAGAUGAUGAACGAAGCCAAGAGGAGUCCCAAGGCUUUCAGUUCCGGGGCGGCUGAGACUGACAGAGCCGAAAGCAAGAUGCAAAGGAAGCAAUGCCGGCAGAGUUUGAGUGGCAGGCCCCCGAAGGUGGGGGCAGAAAUGCUCUGGAGUGGAAGGGAUGGAUACCCUGCUCCACCCCAUCCCGGGAAGAUGUAAUCUUGUAAUCUGCAUUUCCUACCUUUCUACUCAUUUUUUUUUUCCUGUGAGUUGUAAAGCUGAAAACAGUAAAUGACAUUUUUUUUCCUCUUCCCCAAUUUGGCCAACUUGUGUCAAGAUCUGGUCCUGCAGCUGUCUUUGAGAAUCUGUCCAAUAAUGAACCCGAGAGAGGAGUUGCAAUGGCAAACCUGAGCACAUGGGUUCCUACAUGAAAUAUUGUCUUGAUUGUUUUGAAAUGAUCCUUCUAGUCCUAGACUGUUUUUAAAUGAUCCUUUUAUGUCCUGAUCUGGAAUACUUUUCAUUGUCUAGUGGAGUGAAAAAUUGCACACAACACAGCUCUUAGUCCAAAAGGAAUAGGAGAAUUUGUUUUGAGCCAAAUAUGAGUGGCCAAUGCCAAGAAACUCACAUGGAGGUUAUCUUGAAAGUGCAAGUACUCUCCUCCAUAGAAGAGGCUACAUGGAUGCUCAUAAUUUAGAGCAAAGGGUCAUAGACUAAUACAAUACAAUGGUGGGGAUGUCAGCUACACAGCACAGAAGAGAAAGGAAAUCUCUUCAAAAGGACCCAGCCCAGGUUUGGGUUUGGGGCUGGUGGGAGUCAGUGGUCCAACUCAGAGAACACAUGCCCAAAGUAUUGCCUGACAGUAACAAUGGCAUUAGAGGUCAGAAACAGAAAUUGGUCAUUAAUGGCUUUUAAGGGGGACUGAAGUUAGCCAGAGGUCAUUUUGGCCCUUGGUCUACAACAUUCCUGUCUUCCGGCCUGGAUUUCUGAUUGGUUAAUCGCUACAGAAUCUUUUCCAUGAACGUGGCCCUUUUCACAGCAUGGGGAAAGAUGUUGAGACAGCCUCAUUGUCUUUGGAAGAUUAUGGGCGAGAAGAGUUUAAGUGCAGCCGAGAAGAGUUUGCAAACCUAGCACAGUAGCAGCAGAAAUAGAAAAUUCCAUGACCUUAUGCUAAGGAACAUACUGAAUCCGCUUGUGGACAAGGGGCUGGGCUGUGACAGGAACGAAUGGAAGCGUUUUCUCAGGGACUCAGAUUUAUUCGCUCAACAAAAUUUUGAGUGGCUGCUCUGUACCAGGCACAGAAUUUUCCCCAAAGACAGUGCUGGGAAAAUGGUGCUCCAGUAGGAAGGCUGAGGCAUCACCGUGAGUCCCACCAUGGCAGGUGUCAGAAAUGCCUUGAGGAAAAAUUAAAUCGCGUGUCCCAGAGACAGGGCUGCUAUUUUGAAUUGGAUGAUGAGGGAAAGUUUCUCUCUAGGAAAGACCCAAGGCAAGAGGGGCUCCAAUCAAGCACUUGUGUGGCAAGCCCCAUUUUGUGGUUCGUUUCUAUUCUCCGAGGACUCCAUAAAGUACCCAGAACCCAGCCCGAACACAUUCUUGGUGAACUUCUAGUCUAAGAAGAUACCCGUGUCCACAGUCUGUCACCCCAUUUUCUCUGCAUUUCACCCCAAAUAUAUAUAAACAGAAUUGGCAAAGGAAAAUGGAUUUAUUUACAGUUUGGACAAAACGGAAAGAGACAAAGGCUUUGAUUUUUCUCCUACAGUGCCUUGUAGUGCUGUGUCACCGUUCGUGUGUGCAUAGAGACACACACAUACAAGACGUGGGCCACUCAGAGGACCCUGCCAGGUGCAAGACUCUAGGACCCUCUCUUUCCAGGGAGAUUCCGGAGAAAUCCUAAUUCCUGUUUGUUUCCUCGGGACUUGGGGGGUCCAGUGUUCCACCAGCAGAGAGCUGGGUGGCUACCAUACCUUUCUCCACUGAACACACACAAGUUGCUGUUGAUCACACGGCCCAGAACUGCUCUGGGCAGUGCAAGGCGUACGAGGGAAGAGCAUGCAGUCUAGAGAGGCAUAUUCCAGACUCAGCUCCUGCUUUCCUACUGAGUGACCUUGACCCGGACCCCUCCGUGACAUUCUAAAACAAGGAAUAAUUUCAAUUAUCCCGCAGAAACAAUGUUUUUAAAGACUUCAUUCGGUGUCUGGUAUAGAAGUGUUAAAACUACUGCUAUUGCCGCUAACUUGAGAGUCAGCUCUUGUUGAACUUGGAGAAUUCUUUUCCCCAACCGUAUUGAGAACAAUUGACAAAUAAAGCUUGCCUGUACUUCA